rnacentral:rRNA from 1 species
UGGGGGAUAUUGCACAAUGGGCGAAAGCCUGAUGCAGCGACGCCGCGUGGGGGAUGAAGGCUUUCGGGUUGUAAACCUCUUUCGCUAUCGAACCAGGCCCGCUUAGGGUGGGUUGAGGGUAGGUGGAGAAGAAGCGCCGGCUAACUACGUGCCAGCAGCCGCGGUAAUACGUAGGGCGCGAGCGUUGUCCGGAAUUAUUGGGCGUAAGGGCUUGUAGGCGGCUUGUUGCGCCUGCUGUGAAAACGCGGGGCUUAACUUCGCGCGUGCAGUGGGUACGGGCAGGCUUGAGUGUGGUAGGGGUGACUGGAAUUCCAGGUGUAGCGGUGGAAUGCGCAGAUAUCUGGAGGAACACCGAUGGCGAAGGCAGGGCACUGGGCCAUUACUGACGCUGAGGAGCGAAAGCGUGGGUAGCGAACAGG